rnacentral:rRNA from 1 species
AACGAACGCUGGCGGCAUGCCUAACACAUGCAAGUCGAACGAGACCUUCGGGUCUAGUGGCGCACGGGUGCGUAACGCGUGGGAACCUUCCCUUAGGUUCGGAAUAACUCCCCGAAAGGGGUGCUAAUACCGGAUAAUGUCUUCGGACCAAAGAUUUAUCGCCUUUGGAUGGGCCCGCGUUGGAUUAGCUAGUUGGUAGGGUAAAAGCCUACCAAGGCGACGAUCCAUAGCUGGUCUGAGAGGAUGAUCAGCCACACUGGGACGGAGACACGGCCCAGACUCCUACGGAAGGGAGCAGUGGGGAAUAUUGGAAAAUGGGCGGAAGGCUGAUCCAGCAAUGCCGCGUAAGUGAUGAAGGCCUUAGGGUUGUAAAGCUCUUUUACCCGGGAUGAUAAUGACAGUACCGGGAGAAUAAGCUCCGGCUAACUCCGUG